UAACACGUGGGUGACCUGCCCCUUACUCUGGGAUAAGCCUGGGAAACUGGGUCUAAUACCGGAUAUGACACAGUCUCGCAUGGGGUUGUGUGGAAAGUUUGUUCUUAAUUGGACACUUCGGUGGGGGAUGGGCCCGCGGCCUAUCAGCUUGUUGGUGGGGUGAUGGCCUACCAAGGCGACGACGGGUAGCCGGCCUGAGAGGGCGACCGGCCACACUGGGACUGAGACACGGCCCAG
rnacentral:rRNA from 1 species